AGCAGUAGCCGCGGUAAUACGGAGGGUGCAAGCGUUAAUCGGGAUUACUGGGCGUAAAGCGCACGCAGGCGGUCUGACAAGUCAGAUGUGAAAUCCCCGGGCUUAACCUGGGAACUGCAUUUGAAACUGUCAGGCUGGAGUCUUGUAGAGGGGGGUGGAAUUCCAGGUGUAGCGGUGAAAUGCGUAGAGAUCUGGAGGAAUACCGGUGGCGAAGGCGGCCCCCUGGACAAAGACUGACGCUCAGGUGCGAAAGCGUGGGGAGCAAACAGGAUUAGAUACCCCGGUAGUCCCUGUCUCUUAUAC
rnacentral:rRNA from 1 species